UGAGCUGUGGCUCAGUGGUAGAGCGCUCACCUAGCAUGUGCAAGGUGCUGGGUUCGAUCCUCAGCACCACAU
rnacentral:tRNA from 1 species